CCUUCCCCCAGGCUGCCGCAUCCGUUCCCCCAGGGACCUGCAGAUGUCCCCCGGGGAGCCGCCUUUAUCCCGGGGCCCCUCUCCCCAAGCCGCCUCCCAGCCUGGUGGGAUACAGGCUCUGCCCUCGGAAGAUUGGAGGAUCUUCUCUCCCGAACCCCGAGGGGAGUCUGCACUCGGCUCCGGGAGGGCCUCCUUUCUCUCGCAUUUGAGGCGACUCUCGCUUUGACCUGGAGGCGCCCCUUUGUGCUCGCCCUGGAGGCCCUCCCAUCUUUGACCUUGAGAGACCUCUUCCAUCAGAGCCUGAGUGGCCUCCCCACUCGGACCCUGGUUUGUCUCUCUCUUACUCUGACACUGAGGGUCCCCCUCUCUCUGACUGUGAGGAAUCUCAUUCCUUAGCAGUUUCUUCUGUUCUGCUCUCUCCUGGCCCAGGCUCCAGCCCAGCCCCUCCAGGGGAUCUUGGGGUUCUGGCAGGCCCGGGGAGGGGAGGCCUGGGCGCCCUGGGGCUCCCUGAGCCAGCUUUUUCUCCUGUAGGCUCCCAGAUGAUAGUUGAUGGGGCCUCUGGGGCGUGGGCUCUGCUUGGCUCCCCUCUUGCCUCUGGGCCAGGUCCUAGGAAGGAAGAACACUUGGUCCCAGGUUUGUGAGGGAAUCCUCCCUCCAGGGCCACUUCCCUCAGGGGAACCUGGAGCCCCAGGGCCCUGGUCGGCCUUACUCCCAUUAGGCCCCUGGCCUGACUCCUGCAUUUGUAAAGCCCAUGUUGUGCUGUGCUGUGCUUAGUCACUCAGUCAUGCCUGACUGCAGCCUCGUGGAAGAUAGCCUGGGAAGCCCCAGACCCAUGUAUGUAGUUUAAAAGGUGCUUCAGCGAUGGCCCCUUUUUCCACCUGGCUGCGGGCUUCUCACCCCAGCAGUCUCCUCCCAGGCAGACCCCACCUCUGCUAUCCCCAAUCUGAGAGGGGUCUUGCCCAGGAAACUUCCACCCUUUCACCUCGAACUCUGAGAUUCCUGGUUCUCCAGGGCUACUGCUGGUGGUGAGGUUCAGCUCUUGGAAGCAACCUGAAGGAGAAAGACAGAUGUCUGCUCAUGUCCCAGCCCCUCACACACAACACCCCUGAACUGGAACCAGGAAGCCCAGGGAGUCCCCAGCAGCCUGCUAUGUGUCUGCUUGUCAGGUUGGCCUGCCAACAGCUGACCCCAUCUUCCUCAUCCUCUCAGCCAAGGACCACCUCGGAGGAACCUAUACACCGUCUUCCUCAAAACCGCCAGAGGCAGCCCAGGAGCAGGAAGGGACUGUCUGCCAGGGCCACCAGUCCCUCUUAAGGACACCCCCUACUUUGUUCUCGUGUGCCUGUCCAGCCCCACAAUGGGCGCCUGACUUUUCUAUUGUUAAGGAUAAUCCUCUUUAGCUCUUUCUUGGUUUCUGGACAGCAAAAUCAAAUGAAAUUCAAGAAGUGGAAUUUUAGGCCAGAGGCUAGUCUAAAAACUGCAAGUCUUUAUAAUUAACAAAAGGAAUCUAAAAAAAGAGAUGAAAUGUCGCUGCUCCUUUGCAGCUGUGGAGGAAGGAGCAUCGUUUUGCAUUCAUAAAACCACUUAAAAGAACCUGAUUUCAUAAGGUCUUAAAUUGAGAACUCUCAUAAGAAAUGCCAUCUUUAUGCAACAUGGAUGUGUGAAUAUUCAUAACAGUAACCAAAUGGGAAUGUUCUCUGUGAAAACAAAUCUGUCUUUGGAAGAGUUUUGAACAAAGACAUCUGGCUGUGAUCUCCUCGGAGAUGAGGACAAGUGCCCUGUAUCUCCCCAGUGCCUGGCAUGAGGGUGGCAGCUUGGCAGCUUGGAGCUGCCAUUCCAUUCCAUCCCCGCUGGAGGACAGGGAGGACAGACAGACAUUCCCAGCACUCUCUACUCUGAGCCCCAGCUUAGCUUCAGAAUCCUCCUGGACACAGUGCCUGAGAUGGCUGGCACCAAUCAGGUAGAGUUGGCAUAGAAAAGAAAACCUGGGGCUUCCCAGGUGGCUCAGUGGUAAAGAAUCUGCCUGCCAAGGCAGGAGA